UAGGGAAUCUUCCGCAAUGGGCGAAAGCCUGACGGAGCAACGCCGCGUGAGUGAUGAAGGUCUUCGGAUCGUAAAACUCUGUUAUUAGGGAAGAACAAAUGUGUAAGUAACUAUGCACGUCUUGACGGUACCUAAUCAGAAAGCCACGGCUAACUACGUGCCAGCAGCCGCGGUAAUACGUAGGUGGCAAGCGUUAUCCGGAAUUAUUGGGCGUAAAGCGCGCGUAGGCGGUUUUUUAAGUCUGAUGUGAAAGCCCACGGCUCAACCGUGGAGGGUCAUUGGAAACUGGAAAACUUGAGUGCAGAAGAGGAAAGUGGAAUUCCAUGUGUAGCGGUGAAAUGCGCAGAGAUAUGAGGGAACACCAGUGGCGAAGGCGACUUUCUGGUCUGUAACUGACGCUGAUGUGCGAAAGCGUGGGGAUCAAACAGG
rnacentral:rRNA from 1 species